rnacentral:lncRNA from 1 species
AGUCCCAGGCUACUUGUAGCCGGGCAUUCGCCUUCUUUCCAUUUCUCACCUCCCGAUUGCGUUUCGCACCCUUGGUGCGAAUAUCGCCAGCGCCCUUUCUUUGUCACUGUCCCGCCGUUCAGGCAGCGCUUCCCCGACCCCGUGGUCCCCUUGUUCUUUAGCCUUCUACCCUCUUAUCCUCAAGGCUUUCUCUUAUUUUGCCCUUUCCCUGAUACUUUUUUCUUUACCCAUCUUCUGUGCUUAAUUUCAUCCCCUUCUUUUUUGGCCCCUCUUCUCCUUCCUACUCUGGCCUUUAGUCCAGUUCACCCUGCCCUUCUCUCAGCCCCUUCCUCGGAGAUCCUUUUCUUCCAAUCUUUCCUUCUCCCCGUCUCCUCCCUCCUUCCCCUUGCAUUCCCUCUUUUCCCCUCCCCCACCCUCAUCUUUUCUUGCCUCCCUCCCCUUCCCCCACCCCUUGUCUUAAAGCAGCUGGAGAUGAGCGCCGAGGAGCUGGGUCUAGAAGACAAAACAAAACAAAAAAAAAGACUUUGCGGAACGGUCUGCCUGAAGGCUUCGGGAAGGGGACAAAGAGAACAGGCCGGGGUAGUUAUUUGUAUAAAAAGUGGGAUAUGGCGUUUUUAACGUUUGGGGGACGUCCGCAGCUUCCGCAGGGGCAGAAGGUAAGGCGCUUGUGCUCGCUAUGGCGCCGGCAGCACCAAGGACAGCGCCCAGGUCGGCGAGUGGGAGGUGCAGCCACCCGGGGGGCUUGUCACCCAGCCUGGCCUGUCAGGUUGGCAGGGGGCAGGGGGUUCCCUUCCCCCUCUUCUCUCCGAGUAAAUACAAUUUAAACCUGCCUGUAGUGACUAUCUUUGCAGGAGCGAAGCUGGAAUCACAGGCUAAGACUUCCCUGCAAUGCAGGGUUGGCACAAUGGACAGAUCGCAGAUUUUGAAAACAACCAAAAUUCAUUAAAGUCAGUUAACAGAAAUAUAUACUUGUAGCCCAGUUUGAGUUUUCUAACAUAUGGUGGUAUAGGAAAUGAAGAGAUACAGGGCCUGAAAUGUGAAGGUCAAAUACUCCUUGGAAAGGAGAAUUUGAAAUCUGUUGGGAUGAAAAGUCCAGGGAAAUAUAGUUUUUCUUAAGUUUGGACACAGACAAUUGCCUUGUCAUCUUUCGGUUCAGUAUUCCCUAUGUGUAACUGCAAUGAUUGAAAAGGCAUCUGAAUUAACUUUAAAUUGAUUUAAAAGUUGCGGAACAGAGUCACCACAACCUUGAAUAAAAUCAGAUGUUUUCCCUUCAUUUAAAAUGUAAUAUAUUUUUCGCUUUAGAUUUUAAUGAUUGAUUUGGAAUAGAUUUUCUAUAUCAUUAAACAUGUUUAUGCAAACA